rnacentral:misc_RNA from 1 species
AAGUCGUAACAAGGUUUCCGUAGGUGAACCUGCGGAAGGAUCAUUACGUUCAGUAGCCCAGCUACUUGUUUACACCCUUGUCUUUUUGCGUACUUAUCGUUUCCUCGGCGGGCUUGCCUGCCGGUUGGACAACUUUACAACCUUUUAAAUCUUCAAUCAGCGUCUGAAUAAUAUACAAUAAUUACAA